rnacentral:lncRNA from 1 species
UCCUCAAAUCACAAUACACCACACUGGUCCUACAUACACCCAACCGACAUAGCACCACUUUGGUCCAACUUGACCCUACAAUAGAGUUCUAACUACAUCGUUACCUGUCAUCUCAGCCAAGGUUUAAAUAAACGAUAAACAUCUCGGUUAAUAUUUAACCGGCGGUCUUCGGACUUUCCCCCUGUCCUCAGAGCACUACAUCUCGGUUAUUAUUUAACCGGCGUUCUUCGGACACUCCCUGUCCUCAGAGCACUACAUCUCGGUUAUUAUUUAAUCGGCGUUCUUCGGACUCUCCCUGUCCUCAGAGCACUACAUUUCUACCCUCUGAUCAACUCAGAAUGUCAACAUGAUUAUCACACACAUUUAUCGGUUAACAUUAUCAUAAAUAAUCAUGGCAAUUUCAACGACAAUAUCAUAUCAUAACCAAGUUAUCGUAAUUUCACACACACCUCAAUGUCACACCAUUCCAUAUAUAUCCACGUAAAUAUAUAUAUAUACGUAAUCAUCCGCCCAGGGAUAAUCACUAAUACCAACUAUAAAUCAAGCACAAAAAAUCGUGAAAUUCAUUUUGUAUAAUUAAAAUCAUUUUACUUACCUAUGGACCGUAG